GAGGUACUCCCUCCGUCCGGAAAAGCUUGUCAUCAAAAUGGAUAAAAGAGGAUGUAUCUAAAACUAAAAUACAUCUAGAUACAUCUCCUUUUAUUCAUUUUGAUGACAAGUAUUUCCUGACGGAGGGAGUAGUUG
rfam:Triticum aestivum genome assembly, contig: Triticum_aestivum_CS42_TGACv1_scaffold_177645_2DS